rnacentral:rRNA from 1 species
GAUGAACGCUGGCGGCGUGCUUAACACAUGCAAGUCGAACGGUGAAGCAGGAGCUUGCUCCUGUGGAUCAGUGGCGAACGGGUGAGUAACACGUGAGCAAUCUGCCCUGGACUCUGGGAUAAGCGUUGGAAACGACGUCUAAUACCGGAUACGAGGCGUGGGGGCAUCCCCAACGCCUGGAAAGAACUUCGGUCCAGGAUGAGCUCGCGGCCUAUCAGGUAGUUGGUGAGGUAACGGCUCACCAAGCCUACGACGGGUAGCCGGCCUGAGAGGGUGACCGGCCACACUGGGACUGAGACACGGCCCAGACUCCUACGGGAGGCAGCAGUGGGGAAUAUUGCACAAUGGGCGAAAGCCUGAUGCAGCGACGCCGCGUGAGGGAUGAAGGCCUUCGGGUUGUAAACCUCUUUCAGCAGGGAAGAAGCGAAAGUGACGGUACCUGCAGAAGAAGCACCGGCUAACUACGUGCCAGCCGCCGCAGUAA